ACUGCUCAGUAACACGUGGACAACCUACCCUUGGGUCUGGCAUAAUCCUGGGAAACUGGGUAUAAUUCCAGAUAGGUCACAGAUGCUGGAAUGCACUGUGGCCGAAAGCUCCGGCGCCCAAGGAUGGGUCUGCGGCCUAUCAGGGUUGUAGUGGGUGUAACGGACCUACUAGCCUACAACGGGUACGGGUUGUGAGAGCAAGAGCCCGGAGAUGGAUUCUGAGACACGAAUCCAGGCCCUACGGGGUGCAGCAGGCGCGAAAACUUUACAAUGCGGGAAACCGUGAUAAGGGAAUCUCGAGUGCCAGCAUAUAAUGUUGGCUGUCCAGAUGCCUAAAAAGCAUCUGUUAGCAAGGGCCGGGCAAGACCGGUGCCAGCCGCCGCGGUAACACCGGCGGCCCGAGUGGUAACCGCUUUUAUUGGGUCUAAAGGGUCUGUAGCCGGCCAAGUAAGUCCCUUGGGAAAUCUGGCAGCUUAACUGUCAGGCUGCUAGGGGAUACUGCUAGGCUUGGGACCGGGAGAGGUGAGAGGUACCUUGGGGGUAGGGGUGAAAUCUUGUGAUCCUCGGGGGACCACCAGUGGCGAAGGCGUCUCACCAGAACGGGUCCGACGGUAAGGGACGAAAGCUAGGGGCACGAACCGGAUUAGAUACCCGGGUAGUCCUAGCCGUAAACGAUGCUCGCUAGGUGUCAGUCACGGUGCGACCGUGAUUGGUGCCGUAGGGAAGCCGUGAAGCGAGCCACCUGGGAAGUAUGGCCGCAAGGCUGAAACUUAAAGGAAUUGGCGGGGGAGCAC
rnacentral:rRNA from 4 species